GGUUCCGCCUGCCCGGUGACUUCUUAAACGGCCGCGGUACCCUAACCGUGCAAAGGUAGCAUAAUCACUUGUCUUUUAAAUAGAGACUAGUAUGAAAGGCUAAAUGAGGGUUUAACUGUCUCUUACGAUUGGUCAAUGAAAUUGAUUUACCAGUACAAAAGCUGGUAUUACUACAUAAGACGAGAAGACCCUGUGGAGCUUAAAAAUCAAAACACUAUAAUGUCCGCUGAGUUUUUAGUUGGGGCGACUUUGGAGCACAAAAAAACCUCCAAAAAAUCCACCUUACCUAAUUAGAGAGAUAUCUCAAACUAGGUGUAAUAGACCCACAGGCCACCUUAAAAUACCUGUGAUUAAUAAACCAAGUUACCCCAGGGAUAACAGCGCCAUCCCCUUCAAGAGUCCCUAUCGACAAGGGGGUUUACGACCUCGAUGUUGGAUCAGGACACCCAAAUAGUGCAGCCGCUAUUAAAGGUUUGUUUGUUCAACAAUUAACAGUCCUA
rnacentral:rRNA from 1 species